rnacentral:rRNA from 1 species
GACGAACGCUGGCGGCGUGCCUAAUACAUGCCAGUCGAGCGGACUGAUUAAGAGCUUGCUCUUAUGACGUUAGCGGCGGACGGGUGAGUAACACGUGGGCAACCUGCCCUGUAGAUCGGGAUAACACCGAGAAAUCGGUGCUAAUACCGGGUAAUAUCUGAGAUCACAUGAUCUUAGGUUAAAAGAUGGCUCCGGCUAUCACUACAGGAUGGGCCCGCGGCGCAUUAGCUAGUUGGUAAGGUAAUGGCUUACCAAGGCGACGAUGCGUAGCCGACCUGAGAGGGUGAUCGGCCACACUGGGACUGAGACACGGCCCAGACUCCUACGGGAGGCAGCAGUAGGGAAUCUUCCGCAAUGGACGAAAGUCUGACGGAGCAACGCCGCGUGAGUGAUGAAGGGGUUCGGCUCGUAAAGCGCUGUUGUUAGGGAAGAAACAGUACCGAACGAACUAGGUCGGUACCUUGACGGUACCUAACCAGAAAGCCACGGCUAACUACGUG